AGACCGCUCCUCCUCCGCUCCCAAUGUUCAUAUAAACACAAUCGAACCUGUCAAUAUUGAUGAAAAAUUCCCAGAAGUGGAAUUACAGGAUCAAAGGGAUUUGAUUAGAGACCAGGGGUUUCGUGGGGAUGGAGGGUCAACCACAGGCUUGUCGGCCACCCCACCUGCCUCAUUACCUGGCUCACUCACUAACGUGAAAGCCUUACAGAAAUCUCCAGGACCUCAGCGGGAAAGGAAGUCCUCCUCCUCCUCCUCCUCCACGGAAGACAGAAGUCGGAUGAAAACACUUGGUAGAAGAGAUUCAAGUGAUGAUUGGGAGAUUCCUGAUGGACAGAUUACAGUGGGACAGAGAAUUGGAUCUGGGUCCUUUGGAACUGUCUACAAGGGAAAGUGGCAUGGUAUGUAUGUAAUACAGUGUCAGUGGCUCACCUGGGACAUGGUAUGUAUGUAAUACAUUGGUGUAGUGGGGAUAUGUUAAGAAAUGUUUAUUUAA
rnacentral:lncRNA from 1 species